UUUAAAAUGUACUUUAUUGGACAGUGACAACAUUCCAAGUUAAUUAAAAUGUUAUUGCAUUUCCGAUUCAUAAUUUCUCAAUUUGAAAAAGGUAACUUAUUCUGAAAAGGCCAAAAAUAAAAGUCUGGCCAGACACGACAUUUCUACUACAGCACAGUCCAGCAGAGAUGCCUGAGGAUACACUGGAUAUUGCAUACACACUGCUAAUGUCUUGCAUCGAGAGGUUUUAUUGCAGACCAGUCGGCACACAAGAGAUCUUUUUCAUAUCGCUUAAUGGUUUGAAUACCACAGGACAGGAGGUGGACCUCUUGGAGAGUCAUAUGGGAACUUAAAGAAGAUAAAGGCACUUCUAAUAAUAAUAAUACCCAAAUGAGUGCAAACACAAGCGAAGGACUGGAGCCAUUAAGCAAAUGAAGGUGACGGAAUGAAUAGGAAAAAA